UCAUAACUAGUUCAGAACAAGCCCUUUCUGCAGUCAGUCUCACAAGCUGUCUCUGCUGGAAGAUGCCAAAAGAACCUUUGAAGACAGCACUGCUAAGAAGAGCUGGACCAGCCCCAGCCAGGUGACCAGCCAGCACCUCUAAACUGUAAACACCACCUACCCAUUGGCCUGUUGCUGGAUUUUGAUGAAAUACAUUCUUAAUGAUAAAAUUCCCUAAAGUAAAGAGUGUCAUGAUAAAGAAACCAUUGUGGAAAUUAAAAGAAUUAUAUCAA